AUUGAACGCUGGCGGUAGGCCUAACACAUGCGAGUCGAACGCGAAAGUCCUUCGGGAUGAGUAGAGUGGCGGACGGGUGAGUAACGCGUAGGAAUCUAUCCUGUAGUGGGGGAUAACGUUUCGAAAGGAACGCUAAUACCGCAUACGCCCCACGGGGGAAAGCGGGGGAUCUUCGGACCUCGUGCUAUAGGAGGAGCCUGCGUCGGAUUAGCUAGUUGGUGAGGUAAAGGCUCACCAAGGCGACGAUCCGUAGCUGGUCUGAGAGGAUGAUCAGCCACACCGGAACGGAGACACGGACCGGACUCAUACGGGAGGCAGCAGUGGGGAAUAUUGCGCAAUGGGCGAAAGCCUGACGCAGCCAUACCGCGUGUGUGAAGAAGGCCUUCGGGUUGUAAAGCACUUUCAGUGGGGAGGAAAAGCUGGUGGCUAAUAUCCAUCGGCCGUGACGCUACCUACAGAAGAAGCACCGGCUAAUUCCGUGCCAGCCGCCGCCGUAA
rnacentral:rRNA from 1 species